rnacentral:rRNA from 1 species
UACGCGAAGAACCUUACCCACCUUUGACAUGUACGGAAUUUGCCAGAGAUGGAGUGUUCCCUUCGGGGACCGGAGCACAGGUGCUGCAUGGCUGUCGUCAGCUCGUGUCGUGAGAUGUUGGGUUAAGUCCCGCAACGAGCGCAACCCUUGUCAUUAGUUGCUACAUUUAGUUGGGCACUCUAAUGAGACUGCCGGUGACAAACCGGAGGAAGGUGGGGAUGACGUCAAGUCCUCAUGGCCCUUAUAGGUGGGGCUACACACGUCAUACAAUGGCUGGUACAAAGGGUUGCCAACCCGCGAGGGGGAGCUAAUCCCAUAAAACCAGUCGUAGUCCGGAUCGCAGUCUGCAACUCGACUGCGUGAAGUCGGAAUCGCUAGUAAUCGUGGAUCAGAAUGUCACGGUGAAUACGUUCCCGGGCCUUGUACACACC